rnacentral:rRNA from 1 species
UACGGAGGGGGCUAGCGUUGUUCGGAUUCAUUGGGCGUAAAGGGUGCGUAGGUGGCGCCAUAAGUCAGGUGUGAAAUCUCGGGGCUCAACCCCGAAACUGCACUUGAUACUGUGGUGCUCGAGUACUGGAGAGGAGAUUGGAAUUUACGGUGUAGCAGUGAAAUGCGUAGAUAUCGUAAGGAAGACCAGUGGCGAAGGCGAAUCUCUGGACAGUUACUGACACUGAGGCACGAAGGCCAGGGGAGCAAACGGG